rnacentral:rRNA from 1 species
GUGCCAGCAGCCGCGGUAAUUCCAGCUCCAAUAGCGUAUAUUAAAGUUGUUGUGGUUAAAAAGCUCGUAGUUGAACCUUGGGCCUGGCUGGCCGGUCCGCCUCACCGCGUGCACUGGUCCGGCCGGGCCUUUCCCUCUGUGGAACCCCAUACCCUUCACUGGGCGUGGCGGGGAAACAGGACAUUUACUUUGAAAAAAUUAGAGUGCUCCAGGCAGGCCUAUGCUCGAAUACAUUAGCAUGGAAUAAUAAAAUAGGACGCGCGGUUCUAUUUUGUUGGUUUAUAGGACCGCCGUAAUGAUUAAUAGGGACAGUCGGGGGCAUCAGUAUUCAACUGUCAGAGGUGAAAUUCUUGGAUCAGUUGAAGACUAACUACUGCGAAAGCAUUUGCCAAGGAUGUUUUCAUUAAUCAGGAACGAAAGUUAGGGGAUCGAAGACGAUCAGAUACCGUCGUAGUCUUAACCAUAAACUAUGCCGACUAGGGAUCGGACGGUGUUAUUCAUGACCCGUUCGGCACCUUACGAGAAAUCAAAGUGCUUGGGCUCCAGGGGGAGUAUGGUCGCAAGGCUGAAACUUAAAGAAAUUG